rnacentral:rRNA from 1 species
CAGUCGCCGCGGUAAUACAGAGGAUGCAAGCGUUAUCUGGAAUGAUUGGGCGUAAAGCGACUGUAGGUGGCUUUUCAAGUCCGCAGUCAAAUCCCAAGGCUCAACCCUGGACAGGCGGCGGAAACUACCAAGAUGGAGUACGGUAGGGGCAGAGGGAAUUUCCGGUGGAGCGGUGAAAUGCGUUGAGAUCGGAAAGAACACCAACGGUGAAAGCACUCUGUUGGGCCGACACUGACACUGAGAGACGAAAGUUAGGGGAGAAAAUGGGAUUAGAUACCCCCGUAGUCCCUGUCUCUUAUAC